AGAUCCAAGCGGGCAGCCGUGUUGGUCUGAAGCAGUUAACAAAGCAAGAGUCAAGUGCAUCUUUAAAACCAACCAAUUUUUAUUUAGAACGUAAGCUUUCGUGUGCUCUUAAGCACACUUCAGCAUUCCUCGUCUGACGUGUGCUUAAGAACACACGAAAGCUUACGUUCUAAAUAAAAAUUGGUUGGUCUUAAAGGUAACACUCGACUCGUGCUUUGUUCAACUCUGUGGUUAAGCUGUCAUGGCUACGGUGGGAUUUUGGACCGGAAGUGCCGAUAAAGGCGGUUGUGUGUCACUCUAGCGUUUUUCUAUCUGUGGACGUAGCGUCCUUUGGCUAUUAUAGAGCGCACAAGAUGAAGCGGCUGGAGAAGUGCCGGUGGCCAGAAGUAAAGGCUCACGGAGGGGAAGACGAGCGCCUCCUAUCGAUGGAAAGAACUCCGUGCAUGUCAGAUGUUUUUCCUACUUGCGGGAUCAAAGAAAGUGGAGAAGAUCCUGCCCAGCGGAGCGAUGAGUCUUCUUUAUCUUGGAGAUGAUACAAAGCCCAGAGAUCAGAAUCAAAACAAGCCGAACUUUCCAGGGAAUUGGAAUUGCAUUGGACACAGCAAGGAAGUGGUCAGCAAGAUGUCUCCCACCACCCUAAUCAGGAAGAAGUCUCCGAAUGCCAGCAAGAAAUCUAUCCAGAGACAGCAGGAGACAAACUCUUUCAGUGUAACCUUCAAGUGUGUGAAAGAAUCCCACAAAGAGGGAAAAAACAUGUGUUCUUUCUGCAGGAAAAAGCUUUAGCCAGCGUUCAAUUCUUACUGUACACGAAAGAACACACACAGGAGAGAGGCCAUAUGAAUGUACGGACUGUGGGAGGUGGUUUAGCCAUCGCUCAAACCUUUUCACUCACAAAACGGUCCACACAGGAGGGAGACCAUAUAACUGCUCUGACUGUGGGGACAGUUUUAGGCACCAGUCCCACCUCAUUACUCAUAAGAGGAUUCACACAGGUGAAAGGCUGUGGGAAAAGCUUCAACCAGAGGUCAGUCCUCACCAUCCAUGAACACACCCACACAGGAGAGAGGCCAUAUAUAUGCUCUGACUGUGGGAAAAGUUUUAACCAGAGGUCAAUUCUUAUUGCACAAGAGAACCCACAUAGGAGAAAGGCCGUUUAAAUGCUCAGACUGGAAAGAGCUUCAAACAGCUCUUGGCUCUCACUGCACAUGCUCGAAGCCACACGGGUGAGAGACCAUAUGGGUGCUUGGACUGUGGGAAAAACUUUACUUGCAGCUCCCUCCUCAUUAAACACAGGAGGACCCACACAGGAGAAAAAUCAUAUGAAUGCUCAAACUGUGAGAGGCGGUUCAGUCAGCGCUCUCAGCUUGUUAUUCACGAGAAAACGCACACAGGACAGAUAUCAUAUUGAGUUUUAGGAUGAGGAGGAAGCUUGAGCCUGAAGCCAAACUGUAGCAUGUAGCUGGAGGAGAACCAGGAGGAAGAGAGGGCUGAUUUUCUUGGGAAGUGUGCCACACAAGUUCACAGUAUAAGAUAGUACCUCUUCUAAUGUGCAGCACACAUAGGCCUUGUGGUUUGGGUUGGUUUUCUCUCUAGUGAUCUACUAAACCAUAAAGCAGGCAGUUUCACAAGGCAAGAAUGUAGGUCUCACUUGGUGGUACCACAGUUAGGCCCAAAGAUCCACCUGCUGCUGUCCAAACAUGCCACAACCUUCUUCAGUUAUCUACAGGAUCAGUCAAUUGUCACCCUCCAGGAAGCUAUAGUGAGAGAGCUGUCCUUUUUAAAUGCAGACAAGUCGGUAAGAAACGAGGUAAAUGACUCUGUAAGCCAAAUUGGCCAUUUUGAGUAUUCUUAUUGCAGAACAUGAGUGGCAACUAGGAAGGAAGGACAAUGCCUGUUGCUUAAAAAGGGUAGGUGGAAACAGGUGGGCUUUCAUUUCAGUUGCCAGCCAUUCCUGGUUAUUUGUACAUUCAAGCAUUAAACAGUUUUUGCACUCUUCCAAACUGUCCCCGGUAACACCUGUCUCUAAAAAUGACGUUUCCAUGCUUAGCUGCUCUGUCCAUUAGCCAUAACCAGGCCUGUUUCUGUCAAUAAGAAUCUCCUCAGCCAGUAGCCAUCCAUACAUCAUCUGACCAUAAGUUACUUAAGGUAAUUAUAGAAUGGUGAAGAAUUACAUACUAUUUUGCUGUUGGUCAUCAGGUUAAUUUCCAACAGCUGAACAAUAUGCCUGGUUGAAAUAAUACAACUUUGAACUCCAGAGUACUGAAAUAGCUGUGCAGAAUUUAAAAUGUGGUUUUAAGGUGACAUCCAGUCAGGGCUACUCAGGGCGGUGCAAGCCACUUAAUAAGCUUGCCCCAUUGUAUUGUUCUCUUUGCUUUUAUGAAGGAUCUGAAAACACUGGACUGUAUCCUGCUGACCAUUUCCAUGUGUAGCUUUUGCCACUUUCUAUUUAUUCCAAAUAAAAUGCUUAUGGGGGG